rnacentral:rRNA from 1 species
UACAGAGGUCUCAAGCGUUGUUCGGAUUCAUUGGGCGUAAAGGGUGCGUAGGUGGGGGUAAGUCAGGUGUGAAAUCUCGAGGCUCAACCUCGAAACUGCACUUGAUACUGCCUUGCUCGAGUACUGGAGAGGAGAUUGGAAUUUACGGUGUAGCAGUGAAAUGCGUAGAUAUCGUAAGGAAGACCAGUGGCGAAGGCGAAUCUCUGGACAGUUACUGACACUGAGGCACGAAGGCCAGGGGAGCAAACGGG